rnacentral:tRNA from 1 species
GCCUGGGUGGCGGAAUUGGUAGACGCGUUGGUCUCAAACACCAAUGUCCGCAAGGACGUAUCGGUUCGACUCCGAUCUCAGGUA